rnacentral:rRNA from 1 species
UACGUAGGGGGCGAGCGUUGUCCGGAUUUAUUGGGCGUAAAGAGCUCGUAGGCGGUUUGGUAAGUUGGAUGUGAAAUCUCCAGGCUCAACCUGGAGGGGUCAUUCGAUACUGCCGUGACUAGAGUUCGGUAGAGGAGUGUGGAAUUCCUGGUGGAGCGGUGAAAUGCGCAGAGAUCAGGAGGAACACCCGUAGCGAAGGCGGCACUCUGGGCCGAUACUGACACUGAGGAGCGAAAGCGUGGGGAGCGAACAGG